AUGACUCUCGGCAACGGAUAUCUCGGCUCUCGCAUCGACGAAGAACGUAGCGAAAUGCGAUACUUGGUGUGAAUUGCAGAAUCCCGUGAACCAUCGAGUUUUUGAACGCAAGUUGCGCCCGAAGCCGUUAGGCUAAGGGCACCUUUGCCUGGGCGUCGUA
rnacentral:rRNA from 1 species